GACGAACCGAGCGAACGUUAUUCGGAAUCACUGGGCUUAAAGGGCGCGUAGGCGGGCGAUCAAGUCAGGGGUGAAAGCCCCCAGCUCAACUGGGGAAGUGCCUCUGAUACUGGUCGCCUCGAGGGAGGUAGGGGCGUGCGGAACUUCCGGUGGAGCGGUGAAAUGCGUAGAUAUCGGAAGGAACGUCGGUGGCGAAAGCGGCGCACUGGACCAAAACUGACGCUGAGGCGCGAAAGCUAGGGAGCAAACAGG
rnacentral:rRNA from 1 species